ACUCGGAAUUCCUGAUGUAAAAGCAGAUCUUACAGACAAGUACUUCUUAAGAAUUGAGAACGGGGAAGCGAAAGCAACAUUUUGUGAAGAUCCUUUUAAGUUAACAGUUACAGAUUCUCCUUGGACUCCCAGCAUUGUUGUUUUUGGAAGUGAUCUGAAGGAGCGUCAGUCUGUCACUAUAACCUGCUCAGCUCAUACUCCCUGUUUACCUUCACCUCCUGAACUCACCUGGAAUCUCAAAAAAGACACUCUCGGACAAAUACUGAAAAAGACUGAUGGAACCUUUACAACUAAACUCCAGGAGACCAUCACUCUGUCAGACAAGCAUGAUGGAUACAACAUCAGCUGUACUGCUAGAUAUCCUGUGAAAGGAGGAUUCAAACAGGUAGAGUCAGUAAGGACUCUCAGUGUUUCAUAUGCUCCUAAAGACACCUCAGCAACCAUCAGUCCAUCAGGUUUGGUGUCAAAAGGUAUCAGGGUGGCGUUGAGCUGCUCCAGCAGAGGCAACCCUCCCAUUACCAGCUACACCUGGUUCACGCACAGCAAACG